AUGUCCCCUGCGUACACUCCGGUUCUGGGCACGCCGUCCAUACCUCCCUGACGCGCGCUCGCUACGUGCUGUCAGCC
rnacentral:sRNA from 1 species